UAUUUAUUUAACUUUUCAUUUCAUAUCUAUCUUGUUUGGUUUGUGAUAAACUCUUUUUUGGGAAUACAUUGGGUUUAAACUCUGAUUUGUAAAUUUAUUUUUAUUUUUAUUCUUAUUUAUUUUGUCACAUCUUUACUUGAGUGUUCAUGCGACAUUUGGAAAAACGGUGCAAUUGAGCAAGGCUGAAUUACUUAUUUUUACAUUUAUUGACCACUUUUAUUGAAGCUAAGCUAUAUAAUGAAUGCAACGGUUAUGUGAGAUUGAGUAAGAAGUGUUAU